GGAGCAAUAGUUUAAUGGAAAAGCACAUCCUUCUAAGAUGAGUUGCAGGUUCGAUUCCUGCUUGCUUCG
rnacentral:tRNA from 1 species